AGGACUAACGCUGGCGGCGUGCCUAACACAUGCAAGUCGAACGAAGUAGCAAUACUUAGUGGCAGACGGGUGAGUAACACGUAGUCAACCUGCCCUUCAAUGGGGGAUAACUAGCCGAAAGGUUAGCUAAUACCGCAUACGAUCUCUGAGUGGCAUCACUCGGCGAUGAAAGGAGUAAUCCGUUGAAGGAGGGGACUGCGUCCCAUUAGUUAGUUGGUGGGGUAAUGGCCUACCAAGACUCCGAUGGGUAGCUGGCUUGAGAGAGCGACCAGCCACACUGGAACUGAGACACGGUCCAGACUCCUACGGGAGGCAGCAGUGAGGAAUUUUCCGCAAUGGGGAAACCCUGACGGAGCGACGCCGCGUGUGGGAAGAAGGCCUUCGGGUCGUAAACCACUGUCGAGGGGGACGAUAUUGACGGUACCCCUGGAGGAACGCCCGGCUAACUACGUGCCAGCAGCCGC
rnacentral:rRNA from 1 species